UGUUCUUCUGAACUCGAGGCCGCAAGUGUGUAAUAAAAACCCGCCCAAGAAAUUGUUUUUUUUUGGUCUCUUUGACGUAGUUCGUUUACGAAGGAGGCGAGAGUGUGAAGGUAUAAUGAAAUACCAGUGCUGUUGCUAUUCUGCCAUAGUGGGUUCAGGGUUGCCGUAUACCCAAACUGGAUACAACUGAGGAAGAUGAAUGCCAAACUCGUGUAGCUUAUCAGAUGGCAUUUUGACGGGGGCAAUGUUCAAUUAUUCAAGUCAAACAUUUCCAGAGACUGAAGCACUUAUGUCUUACUAGGCAAAAUUGGAACAUUAUUGGGAGAGCCUAACUUUUCUCUUCUGUCUUAGCUGUUUCAGAGCUCUACCAUGCCCAGAUCAAAAGAGAUUCCUGAAGAAGUGAGGAAAAAGGUUAUUGAGGCCUACCAAUCUGGAAAAGGGUAUAAAACAAUUUCUAAAGAUUUGGGACUUCAAAGAACCACAGUCAGAAAUAUUGUUGUCAAAUGGAAAAGGUUUGGGACCACAAUGAAUCUUCCCAAGAGUGGCCGUCCUGCCAAAAUCACUCUAGGAGUGAUUAAUAAAAUAAUCCAGGAAGUUAAAGAGAACCCCCAUAAAACAUCCAGAGAUCUACAAGCCUCUCUUGCAUUAGACAAAAUCUGUGUUCAUGAUUCUACUAUAAGGAGGACUGUCAGCAAAGAGAGGAUUCUUGGGAGUGAAUUGACACCAAAACCAUCAACAACCAAGAGCAGUAAGGUUUCUGCUGAACAUGCCAAAGAGCCUAGAUAAUCGGUGCAAUGUAGGAAUAAUGUGUACCACAUGGCCCAGCUUGUGUGUAUGUGUGUAGGUUUUUUGUACUAAUCUUCUGGCUAAUGUAAAGAUUUUUAGUACUCAUGCCUAAUUACAGGCUUGUCAUUUUGCUGUGCUAUGGUUGUACUUUGUGUAUAAUUUCAAUGAACCAUCUAAUAAACAUUAGGAACUGUAUUCAUUUUUGUUUUACAAAGGAAGGCCAUAAUGGCAACUGCAAUAGUAAAAUCGAUUUUGAUUUUUUUUUUUCUUUCUGAUUUUUGACAUAGAAAUGUGUUUAAUAAAACUCUGGGUAGAUUUCUGCCAGCUGUUCA